UACGUAGGGUGCAAGCGUUUAAUCGGAAUUACUGGGCGUAAAGCGUGCGCAGGCGGUUUUGUAAGUCUGUCGUGAAAUCCCCGGGCUCAACCUGGGAAUUGCGAUGGAGACUGCAAGGCUAGAAUCUGGCAGAGGGGGGUAGAAUUCCACGUGUAGCAGUGAAAUGCGUAGAGAUGUGGAGGAACACCGAUGGCGAAGGCAGCCCCCUGGGUCAAGAUUGACGCUCAUGCACGAAAGGCGUGGGGAGCAAACGAGGAUUAGAAACCCGGUGU
rnacentral:rRNA from 1 species